AGGACGAACGCUGGCGGCGUGCUUAACACAUGCAAGUCGAGCGGAAAGGCCCUUCGGGGUACUCGAGCGGCGAACGGGUGAGUAACACGUGAGCAAUCUGCCCUUAGCUUCGGGAUAGCUCCGGGAAACCGGAAUUAAUACCGAAUAUGACUACGGUUGACAUCAGCCAUGGUGGAAAGUUUUUCGGCUAGGGAUGAGCUCGCGGCCUAUCAGCUAGUUGGUGGGGUAACGGCCUACCAAGGCGACG
rnacentral:rRNA from 1 species